rnacentral:rRNA from 1 species
CAGCAGCCGCGGUAAUUCGUAGGGUGCGAGCGUUAAUCGGGAUUACUGGGCGUAAAGGGUGCGUAGGCGGUUGGUUAAGUUUGUCGUGAAAGCCCCGGGCUCAACCUGGGAAUGGCGAUGAAAACUGGCGAGCUGGAGUGUGGCAGAGGGGGGUGGAAUUCCAGGUGUAGCAGUGAAAUGCGUAGAGAUCUGGAGGAACACCGAUGGCGAAAGCAGCCCCCUGGGCUGACACUGACGCUGAGGCACGAAAGCGUGGGGAGCAAACAGGAUUAGAUACCCUGGUAGUCCACGCCCUAAACGAUGGCAACUGGGUGUUGGGGGAGCGAUUCCUCAGUACCGUAGCUAACGCGUGAAGUUGCCCGCCUGGGGAGCACUGCCGCAAGGUUAAAACUUAAAGGAAUUGACGG